UACGAAGGGAGCUAGCGUUGUUCGGAAUAACUGGGCGUAAAGGGAGCGUAGGUGGGUAAGUACGUUAGGUGUGAAAGCCCUGGGCUCAACCUAGGAAUGGCAUUUAAUACGGCUUAUCUUGAGCACGAGAGGGGAAAGCGGAAUGGCGAGUGGAGCAGUGAAAUGCAUUGAGAUUCGCUAGAACACCAGAGGCGAAGGCGGCUUUCUGGCUCGUUGCUGACACUAAGGCUCGAAAGCGUGGGGAGCAAACAGG
rnacentral:rRNA from 1 species